rnacentral:rRNA from 1 species
UACGUAGGGUGCUAGCGUUGUCCGGAUUUAUUGGGCGUAAAGGGCUCGUAGGCGGCGUGUCGCGUCGGGAGUGAAAGCCCGCUGCUUAACGGCGGGUUGGCUUUCGGUACGGGCAUCGCUGGAGUGCGGCAGGGGAGACUGGAAUUCCUGGUGUAGCGGUGGAAUGCGCAGAUAUCAGGAAGAACACCCGUGGCUAAGGCGGCUCUCUAGUACGGUACUGACGCUGAGACGCGAAAGCGUGGGGAGCGAACAGG